GGGUUGGAGGUGUAAAGGAUAACACAUGUCGCGGCCAACAUAAACCAAGCCCGGCAAGUUCUAGGUUCAAGUCCUAGCCAACCUC